rnacentral:rRNA from 1 species
UACGGGGGGGGCAAGCGUUGUUCGGAAUUACUGGGCGUAAAGGGUUCGUAGGUGGCCUGCUAAGUCGGACGUGAAAUCCCUCGGCUCAACCGGGGAACUGCGUCCGAUACUGGUGGGCUCGAGUGCAGGAGAGGAACGCGGAAUUCCAGGUGUAGCGGUGAAAUGCGUAGAUAUCUGGAGGAACACCGGUGGCGAAGGCGGCCCCCUGGUUGGAUACUGACGCUGAUACGCGAAAGCGUGGGGAGCAAACAGG